rnacentral:rRNA from 1 species
CCUAAACUAAAAUAACUCAUCACAACAAAGUUAUUCGCCAGAGUACUACUAGCAACAGCCUAAAACUCAAAGGACUUGGCGGUGCUUUACAUCCCUCUAGAGGAGCCUGUUCCGUAAUCGAUAAACCCCGAUAAACCCUACCAUCUCUUGCUAAUCCAGCCUAUAUACCGCCAUCUUCAGCAAACCCUAAACAAGGUAUCGAAGUAAGCACAAUCAUCCAACAUAAAAACGUUAGGUCAAGGUGUAGCCCAUGGGAUGGAGAGAAAUGGGCUACAUUUUCUACUCUAAGAACAAGAACUUAACCCAAACGAAAGUCUCUAUGAAAUUGGAGACCGAAGGAGGAUUUAGCAGUAAAUUAAGAAUAGAGAGCUUAAUUGAAUAAGGCCAUGAAGCGCGCACACACCGCCCGUCACCC